GCUGAUUGGUGGUGACCUUGAAAGCUUUCAUGAAGGCUUUAAAGUGACAUAAAUUAGGGAGACAUGAUAGAGAGAGCAAUGGCUUAUCUGUAUUAAAUGAAAAAAGUCUUAACCAGAAGAGAAUUCAAGUGGGCCAAAAAUGAAUUCAGAAAGAAGACUUGGAUCACAUAAUUAGCUUUCAGGGAAUCAGUCCACUUUCUUAUCUGCUAAAAUCUUUUAUGGUGACAUGAUAUAAAGGCUACAUAAGUCAGUGAAACAUCAGUAAAUGAUUGAAGAUGAAGUGGACCCAACGUGUCAUCUUUUUAAAAGGCUGCAUGGAAAAUUGGCGUAGCCUUCUCUGCCAGUAACCAAGGUGAGCCAGAGAAAAGACAGUGAUCGUUCCAUCUGAGAUGAUGGAGAAGCUAUUCAUCCAAAUUGCUCAUAGACUCUGCUGAGUAAUUUUGCAGCAUACCAGUGUUACAUCCUGAGCUGCCCAACAUUCCAGAGAGGACAACGGUAACCUGACACAUGCC
rnacentral:lncRNA from 1 species